rnacentral:misc_RNA from 1 species
UUUCCGUAGGUGAACCUGCGGAAGGAUCAUUCAUAAUAAAGUGUUUUAUGGCACUUUUUAAAAAUCCAUAUCCACCUUGUGUGCAAUGUUAGAUCUCGUCAAUCUGGCGAGAUUUUUAUACAUCAACUCAUUCUUUAACUAAUUUGUCUGAAAAAUAUUAUGAAUACUUAAUUCAAAAUACAACUUUCAACAACGGAUCUCUUGGCUCUC